AGUCGAGGGGCAGCAUGAACUUAGCUUGCUAAGUUUGAUGGCGACCGGCGCACGGGUGAGUAACACGUAUCCAACCUGCCGAUGACUCGGGGAUAGCCUUUCGAAAGAAAGAUUAAUACCCGAUGGCAUAGUUCUUCCGCAUGGUAGAACUAUUAAAGAAUUUCGGUCAUCGAUGGGGAUGCGUUCCAUUAGGUUGUUGGCGGGGUAACGGCCCACCAAGCCUUCGAUGGAUAGGGGUUCUGAGAGGAAGGUCCCCCACAUUGGAACUGAGACACGGUCCAAACUCCUACGGGAGGCAGCAGUGAGGAAUAUUGGUCAAUGGACGAGAGUCUGAACCAGCCAAGUAGCGUGAAGGAUGACCGCCCUAUGGGUUGUAAACUUCUUUUAUACGGGAAUAAAGUGAGGCACGUGUGCCUUUUUGUAUGUACCGUAUGAAUAAGGAUCGGCUAACUCCGUGCCAGCAGCCGCGGUAAUACGGAGGAUCCGAGCGUUAUCCGGAUUUAUUGGGUUUAAAGGGAGCGUAGGCGGACGCUUAAGUCAGUUGUGAAAGUUUGCGGCUCAACCGUAAAAUUGCAGUUGAUACUGGGUGUCUUGAGUACAGUAGAGGCAGGCGGAAUUCGUGGUGUAGCGGUGAAAUGCUUAGAUAUCACGAAGAACUCCGAUUGCGAAGGCAGCCUGCUGGACUGUAACUGACGCUGAUGCUCGAAAGUGUGGGUAUCAAACAGGAUUAGAUACCCUGGUAGUCCACACAGUAAACGAUGAAUACUCGCUGUUUGCGAUAUACGGUAAGCGGCCAAGCGAAAGCGUUAAGUAUUCCACCUGGGGAGUACGCCGGCAACGGUGAAACUCAAAGG
rnacentral:rRNA from 1 species